AAUGAAGGUGAUGAUGUCUUUCUAUGUGAAUAUGAAUAUGACAUACACUGGCACAGUUUCAAGCGCAUUGCUGAGAUU